GUAGUCAUGGCCGAGUGGUUAAUGUAAUGGACCAGAAAUUCAUUGGGGUGUCCCCGCGCAGGUUCGAAUCCUGCCGACUACA